ensembl:lncRNA
AGGAUGGAGCUCCAGCACAACUGCUGGGGUCAGGGAGUGUGGGGGGCCACAGGUGGGCCUGGUUGGGACGGUUAAGGCCUGUUCGGGCCUUCAGUCCCAGGCUUUAAAAGUACUCAAGGCAGCAGUUGUAGGGUUCUUUGGAAGAUUUCAGGCUUGGAUGCAGUAUGUGGUUUGUUUCCUGGCUCCUAGCAGUGCUCCCCAGGGGCUCAAAAUGGUAUUGAAGUUGUGGUAGAGAAGAAGAGCAGCACAUCCCCACCAAAGCACUCCUCUUGGGGCAGCAGGAGCUGUCAACGUUGCGUUUGCAGUGCUAACACUUCAGUGGGGGGUUAACUGUGCCAGGCAGAAAGCAGCAACAUCAAGGUGCGUCACCCACAGGGAGUGCUGACAGCAAG